AGAGAUGCUUUGGUGCCUUCGGGAACUCUGAGACAGGUGCUGCAUGGCUGUCGUCAGCUCGUGUUGUGAAAUGUUGGGUUAAGUCCCGCAACGAGCGCAACCCUUAUCCUUUGUUGCCAGCGGCUCGGCCGGGAACUCAAAGGAGACUGCCGGUGAUAAACCGGAGGAAGGUGGGGAUGACGUCAAGUCAUCAUGGCCCUUACGGCCAGGGCUACACACGUGCUACAAUGGCGCAUACAAAGAGAAGCGACCUCGCGAGAGCAAGCGGACCUCACAAAGUGCGUCGUAGUCCGGAUUGGAGUCUGCAACUCGACUCCAUGAAGUCGGAAUCGCUAGUAAUCGUAGAUCAGAAUGCUACGGUGAAUACGUUCCCGGGCCUUGUACACACCGCCCGUCACACCAUGGGAGUGGGUUGCAAAAGAAGUAGGUAGCUUAACCUUCGGGAGGGCGCUUACCACUUUGUGAUUCAUGACUGGGGUGAAGUCGUAACAAGGUAGGCGUAGCGAG
rnacentral:rRNA from 1 species